rnacentral:tRNA from 1 species
GGUAAUGUGGCUUAGUGGUAGAGUGCUUGCCUAACAUGCAUGAAGCCCUGGGUUCGAUUCCUCAGUACUA